ACGUAAUCCACGCAUCAUCGGUAAUUCACCGUUCCCCGUCUCUGAAAAUAUUUACAAAGUGCACAAUAUAAAUAUAUAAAUUGCUUCGAACGCCUGCAAUUACACUUCAUUUAACUUUAUCACGUGGAAGUCCAAAUAAGCAUAAAACAACCAAUAGCACAAAAUGCACCGCACGCCAGUUAUGUCCCGUUUUUCCGUGUCUUUUUGAGUGCGCAGUACUCAAUGUUUCAUACAACACAUGCGCGCGUUCGGAAAAUUCAUUCACAAACGAAAAAAUCAAAAAGUCACAAAGAGUAACAAAAGCGUGUGGCGGAAUUGGCGCCGUUCGGCGUGAUUAUCUGAAAGCGGAAUCGACGGUAUCGCGAGAAUAACACCUGUCCUGGAGGUAAAACGCCGAACAGCGACUGCCAGUACGCGAACUGGUAAAUAACGAGCACAUUACUCGUUCCACCGACCACACAAGCACAAAUGACUCGGUUGGCAAACCACACGAGCACAGGUACGCUCGUAAGUGGUAAAUAAUUGAGAUUACACCACGUUUCAUCGGAUCGCUUACCAUGUGAUAAUGGAGAGAUGUCAUUUUGACGAGUUUAACGAAUUACGCAUUUAAAACAAACAUUUGAUUUCAUUUCGAUUCAAGUUACUGCUUGUUGAUUGCUGCUUCCAAUUAUGUAUUAAUUCCGGUCAGCAGCCAAUGUAUCAUGUUAUACGUAUAUUCAAUUUUCAUCUAUGCAUUAAACAUUAAUAUUUACAAACUAGAUAACUGCAUCGGAUAAAACCAAACGCGAAUCCCAUUCGAGUAAUGCUGGUGCUAUUUGUGUCAGUCAAAUAAUAGUCCUCGUGUUGUGCAAUCGCUUCCAUAAUGAAGUUACAUUCUGUAACUAGUAUUGCAAGAUCACAUCGAUUAACGAAUUAAAUACCAUGCCUCAACAAUUACCAAAAACACAGUCUGGUGAAUUAUAAAUAAAUACUUUUUGUAACUAA